GAUGAAAAAGGUUCUUGGAUUUAUUUUCUCUUUUACAAAGGAGCUGAAAUAAAAUUAAAAGUAAGCAAUAAAUAUGCACUUAUAUCUAAGAGAGAAAAGAUGAAAAACGUUCUUGUAUUUACUUUCUCUUCUAGAAAGGAGCUGACAAAACAUUAAAAGUAAAUAGGGGCCUACAAUAUUAAAUGUUAACUUAAAUAUUCACUUAUAUCUAAGAAAGAGAAGAUGAAGGGUUUCUUUUGACUUCUUCAAAAGGGCUGAAAAAUAAAAUAAAAAAGGUGAACAAGUUUCUUUUCUCUUCUUCAAAGGACAAAAAAAUAUGAAAAAUUAUCUACAUUCGAAGGAGAAAAAAAUCAGAAGUAUCUACAUAUGUUUUCCAGGAACUUUCUAUCAAGCAUGAAGAUCAUUUAUGAUAACAAUGAAUGAUGCACAAAAGUUUACAUAGAUAAUCGUGUCACACAAUCUUGAGCAUUUUGAAAAAGAUAAUGCAACAUUCUAUUUUCAAGAUAUGUAUAAAAUAUAUUUAUCUAUAUGUAAAAUGAGGAUUAUCAAUAAACAACUUUUUAUUUUAUUUAAAGUUUUCGUAAAAAAAUGUAAUAUCAUUGGACAAAUAAAAGAAUUUUGAGAGCAAAAAUAGUAAAAGAAAUGGUUCAUAGAUAUGUAUAUUUUGUAACCUUACUUGAACAAAAUUUAAACGAGAAUAAAGGAUCAUAGAUGGUGUAAUUUUAUUUUAGAGCAA